rnacentral:tRNA from 3 species
GUCGGAGUGGCGGAAUCGGCAGACGCGCUAGCUUAAGGAGCUAGUGCCCGUAAGGGCGUGGGGGUUCAAGUCCCCCCUUCGACACCA